rnacentral:rRNA from 1 species
GGCUCACCAAGGCUGCGAUGGAUAGCCGGCCUGAGAGGGUGAACGGCCACACUGGGACUGAGAUACGGCCCAGACUCCUACGGGAGGCAGCAGUAGGGAAUAUUGCGCAAUGGACGAAAGUCUGACGCAGCAACGCCGCGUGGGUGAUGACGCAUUUUGGUGUGUAAAACCCAGUUAGGAGGGAAGAACCACAUUGGUAGUAACUGACCAGUGUCUGACGGUACCUCCAGAGAAAGCACCGGCUAACUCCGUGCCAGCAGCCGCGGUAAUACGGGGGGUGCAAGCGUUGUUCGGAUUUACUGGGCGUAAAGGGCGCGUAGGCGGACUUGUAAGUCAGAUGUGAAAACUAUAGGCUCAACCUGUAGCCUGCAUUUGAAACUGCAAGUCUUGAGUACAGGAGAGGAAAGCGGAAUUCCAGGUGUAGCGGUGAAAUGCGUAGAUAUCUGGAAGAACACCAGUUGCGAAGGCGGCUUUCUGGACUGAUACUGACGCUAAAGCGCGAAGGCUUGGGUAGCAAACAGGAUUAGAUACCCUGGUAGUCCAAGCGGUAAACGAUGGGUACUAGGUGUCAGGGGUCUCGACCCCCUUGGUGCCGCAGCUAACGCAUUAAGUACCCCGCCUGGGGAGUACGAUCGCAAGAUUGAAACUCAAAGGAAUUGACGGGUCCCCGCACAAGCGGUGGAGUAUGUGGUUUAAUUCGAGGCAACGCGAAGAACCUUACCUGGAUUUGACAGGUUUACGACCGAUUGUGCAAGCAGUCUUUCCCUUCGGGGAUCUUUACACAGGUGCUGCAUGGCUGUCGUCAGCUCGUGCCGUGAGGUGUUGGGUUAAGUCCCGCAACGAGCGCAACCC